UCCGUAGGCGGACUAAUAAGUCAGAGGUGAAAUCCCGCAGCUCAACUGUGGAACUGCCCUUGAAACUGUUAGUCUUGAGUUAUUGUGAAGUGGUUAGAAUAUGUAGUGUAGCGGUGAAAUGCUUAGAGAUUACAUGGAAUACCGAUUGCGAAGGCAGAUCACUAACAAUAUACUGACGCUGAUGGACGAAAGCGUGGGGAGCGAACAGGAUUAGAUACCCUGGUAGUCC
rnacentral:rRNA from 1 species